rnacentral:rRNA from 1 species
AUUGAACGCUGGCGGCAGGCCUAACACAUGCAAGUCGAGCGGAUGAAGGCUGCUUUUUUCUGGUUUUAGCGGGGGACGGGUGUGUGUUGCCUAUGAAUCUCCCUGGCUGUGCGGUAUGACAUCUUCACACGGGUGCUGCUACCGCAUACGUCCUGAUUCAGCAAGUUGGUGAUCUUCGGACCUCUCCCUCUCUGCUGAGCCUACGUCGGAUUUGCUAGUUUGUUGGGUAAAGGCCUACCAAGGCGACGAUCCGUAGCUGGUCUGAGAGGAUGAUCAGUCACACUGGGACUGAGACACGGUACAGACGCAUACGGGAGGCAGCAGUGGGGAAUAGGGGGCAAAGGGCGAAAGACUGAGCAAGCAAUGCCGAGGGUGGGAAGAAGGACUUCGGAUUGUAAAGGACGUUGAGUGGGGAGGAACGGCAGUAAGUGGAUACCUGGCUGGAGUGACGGUAACAACAGAAGAAGCACAGGCUAACUACGUG